rnacentral:rRNA from 1 species
GGGGGAUAUUGCACAAUGGGGGAAACCCUGAUGCAGCGACGCCGCGUGGAGGAAGAAGGUUUUCGGAUUGUAAACUCCUGUCGUUAGGGACGAUAAUGACGGUACCUAACAAGAAAGCACCGGCUAACUACGUGCCAGCAGCCGCGGUAAAACGUAGGGUGCAAGCGUUGUCCGGAAUUACUGGGUGUAAAGGGAGCGCAGGCGGACCGGCAAGUUGGAAGUGAAAACUAUGGGCUCAACCCAUAAAUUGCUUUCAAAACUGCUGGCCUUGAGUAGUGCAGAGGUAGGUGGAAUUCCCGGUGUAGCGGUGGAAUGCGUAGAUAUCGGGAGGAACACCAGUGGCGAAGGCGACCUACUGGGCACCAACUGACGCUGAGGCUCGAAAGCAUGGGUAGCAAACAGGAUUAGAUACCCUGGUAGUCCAUGCCGUAAACGAUGAUUACUAGGUGUUGGAGGAUUGACCCCUUCAGUGCCGCAGUUAACACAAUAAGUAAUCCACCUGGGGAGUACGACCGCAAGGUUGAAACUCAAAGGAAUUGACGGGGGCCCGCACAAGCAGUGGAGUAUGUGGUUUAAUUCGAAGCAACGCGAAGAACCUUACCAGGUCUUGACAUCCGAUGCAUAGCUUAGAGAUAAGUGAAGUCCUUCGGGACAUCGAGACAGGUGGUGCAUGGUUGUCGUCAGCUCGUGUCGUGAGAUGUUGGGUUAAGUCCCGCAACGAGCGCAACCCUUAUUGCCAGUUACUACGAAAGAGGACUCUGGCGAGACUGCCGUUGACAAAACGGAGGAAGGUGGGGAUGACGUCAAAUCAUCAUGCCCUUUAUGACUUGGGCUACACACGUACUACAAUGGCGUUAAACAAAGAGAAGCAAGACCGCGAGGUGGAGCAAAACUCAGAAACAACGUCCCAGUUCGGACUGCAGGCUGCAACUCGCCUGCACGAAGUCGGAAUUGCUAGUAAUCGUGGAUCAGCAUGCCACGGUGAAUACGUUCCCG